rfam:Schistosoma mattheei strain Denwood, Zambia genome assembly, scaffold: SMTD_scaffold0027214
AUCCAGCUGACGAGUCGCAAAUAGGACGAAGUGACACGCGUACUGGAU